rnacentral:rRNA from 1 species
GAUGAACGCUGGCGGCGUGCCUAAUACAUGCAAGUCGAGCGACCAGACGAGGAGCUUGCUCCUCUGACGUUAGCGGCGGACGGGUGAGUAACACGUGGAUAACCUACCUAUAAGACUGGGAUAACUUCGGGAAACCGGAGCUAAUACCGGAUAAUAUAUUGACCCGCAUGGUUCAUUAGUGAAAGCCGGUUUUGCUUUCACUUUUAGAUGGAUCCGCGCCGCAUUAGCUAGUUGGUAAGGUAACGGCUUACCAAGGCUACGAUGCGUAGCCGACCUGAGAGGGUGAUCGGCCACACUGGAACUGAGACACGGUCCAGACUCCUACGGGAGGCAGCAGUAGGGAAUCUUCCGCAAUGGGCGAAAGCCUGACGGAGCAACGCCGCGUGAGUGAUGAAGGUCUUCGGAUCGUAAAACUCUGUUAUUAGGGAAGAACAAAUGUGUAAGUAACUAUGCACGUCUUGACGGUACCUAAUCAGAAAGCCACGGCUAACUACGUG